UACAGAGGUCUCAAGCGUUGUUCGGAUUCAUUGGGCGUAAAGGGUGCGUAGGUGGCGGGGGUAAGUCAGGUGUGAAAAUCCUCGAGGGCUCAACCUCGAAACUGCACUUGAUACUGCCUUGCUCGAGUACUGGAGAGGAGAUUGGAAUUUACGGUGUAGCAGUGAAAUGCGUAGAUAUCGUAAGGAAGACCAGUGGCGAAGGCGAAUCUCUGGACAGUUACUGACACGAGGCACGAAGGCCAGGGGAGCAAACCGGG
rnacentral:rRNA from 1 species